rnacentral:rRNA from 1 species
CCUACGGGGGGCUGCAGUGGGGAAUAUUGGACAAUGGGGGCAACCCUGAUCCAGCCAUGCCGCGUGUGUGAAGAAGGCCCUCGGGUUGUAAAGCACUUUCAGUGAGGAAGAACGCCGUGUGGUUAAUACCCAUCAGGAAAGACAUCACUCACAGAAGAAGCACCGGCUAACUCCGUGCCAGCAGCCGCGGUAAUACGGAGGGUGCGAGCGUUAAUCGGAAUUACUGGGCGUAAAGCGCGCGUAGGUGGCUUGAUAAGCCGGUUGUGAAAGCCCCGGGCUCAACCUGGGAACGGCAUCCGGAACUGUCAAGCUAGAGUGCAGGAGAGGAAGGUAGAAUUCCCGGUGUAGCGGUGAAAUGAGUAGAGAUCGGGAGGAAUACCAGUGGCGAAGGCGGCCUUCUGGACUGACACUGACACUGAGGUGCGAAAGCGUGGGUAGCAAACAGGAUUAGAUACCCCAGUAGUC